rnacentral:sRNA from 1 species
GCCACGGUAAAUCCCGUGGACGGGUUUGGCGACCCGAGAAUGAAAUUGGCGCACAAGCGCCCCCAAGACCAUUGCUGGCGCUUUUUUU